rnacentral:rRNA from 1 species
CAGUAGCCGCGGUAAUACGUAUGUCGCGAGCGUUAUCCGGAAUUAUUGGGCAUAAAGGGCAUCUAGGCGGCCGGAUAAGUCUGGGGUGAAAACUUGCGGCUCAACCGCAAGCCUGCCCUGGAAACUAUGCGGCUAGAGUACUGGAGAGGUGGACGGAACUGCACGAGUAGAGGUGAAAUUCGUAGAUAUGUGCAGGAAUGCCGAUGAUGAAGAUAGUUCACUGGACGGUAACUGACGCUGAAGUGCAAAAGCUAGGGGAGCAAACAGGAUUAGAUACCCCUGUAGUCCCUGUCUCUUAUAC